rnacentral:rRNA from 1 species
GACAGAGGGUGCAAGCGUUAAUCGGAAUGACUGGGCGUAAAGGGCGAGUAGGCGGUUUAAUAAGUUGUAUGUGAAAUACCAGGGCUUAACCUUGGGGCUGCAUACAAAACUGAUGAACUAGAGAGCAGCAGAGGUAAGUGGAAUUUCCGGAGUAGCGGUGAAAUGCGUAGAUAUCGGAAGGAACACCAGUGGCGAAGGCGACUUUCUGGGCUGCGACUGACGCUGAGGAGCGAAGGCAUGGGGAGCAAACAGG